GUACGUUGAGAUAAUUGAUCGAUAUUUGCGUGCUUUAGAGUCGGGUUGUUUGGGAUCGCAGCCCAAAGUCGGUGGUAAACUUCAUCUAAGACUUAAUAUUGCCACGAGACCGAUAGCAAACAAGUACUGUGAAGGAAAGUUGCAAAGCACUUUGAAGAGAGAGUUAAAGAGGACGUGAAACCGGUAAGGUGGAAACGGAUAGAGUCGGCGUAUCAUUCAAUUAUUCAGUUACAUUAUUUUUAUGUUGUGACCUCUGAGCUCCAGAUUGGGACAGAGGGAAUCAGCAUAAUUUUUUGUGGUGCAUUUACUUGAUUGGUGCUUGGGGAUGUUUGAGGCAGAUUUGUUUCCGUCGUUUUGAGGCCAGCUUGCUGGUACCCAAACGGUGUUAGCAUUUUUUGUCUUGGGCAUUUGAGUAUGGCUCACGUGUAUUUAUUGGACAGAUCUGAGUGUAAGUUACGGUCGCAUGCGACACGUGCUUUUCAAUUAGUUCGGUCCAGUUAAUGCUCUCGUACUCGUUCCCCAUGUAAAAGCCGGUCAUCUAUCCGACCCGUCUUGAAACACGGACCAAGGAGUUUAUCGUGUGCGCAAGUUUUUGGGUGUUAAAAACUUAAAAGCGAAAUGAAAGUAAAUGACUCUUUAGAGUCUGAUGUGCGAUCUUGUAAAAAAGUGUAGCAUGGCCCCAUUCUAACUGUUUACAGUAGGGUGGCGGAAGAGCGUACGCGAGAGACCCGAAAGAUGGUGAACUAUUCCUGAGCAGGACGA
rnacentral:rRNA from 1 species